rnacentral:rRNA from 1 species
UACGGAGGUGGCAAGCGUUGCUCGGAAUCACUGGGCGUAAAGGGUGCGUAGGCGGCGGGGCAAGUCAGGUGUGAAAUCCCGGAGCUCAACUCCGGAACUGCACUUGAUACUGCCUCGCUAGAGUACUGGAGAGGAGACUGGAAUUUACGGUGUAGCAGUGAAAUGCGUAGAUAUCGUAAGGAAGACCAGUGGCGAAGGCGAGUCUCUGGACAGUUACUGACGCUGAGGCACGAAGGCCAGGGGAGCAAACGGG